rnacentral:snoRNA from 1 species
UCUUCAGUAAGGUGCAUCCUUACCUGUUACUCCUAUCAUGGAGUAGUAGAACACGAUGAAAGGGGUUCAAUGAGAAAUGAUUCAUAUUUCCAACUUGAUGGGAACAGCAACACCUUUCAAGAUCCAUUCUGAU